rnacentral:rRNA from 1 species
UACAGAGGUGGCAAGCGUUGUUCGGAAUUACUGGGCGUAAAGUGUGCGCAGGCGGCGUCGCAAGUCGAGUGUGAAAGCCCCGGGCUUAACUUGGGAAUUGCGCUCGAAACUACGAUGCUGGAGUGUGGCAGAGGAAGGUGGAAUUCCACGUGUAGCGGUGAAAUGCGUAGAGAUGUGGAGGAACACCAAUGGCGAAGGCAGCCUUCUGGGCCAACACUGACGCUCAUGCACGAAAGCGUGGGGAGCAAACAGG